AAUCCAUAGGUUAAUGAGGCGAACCGGGGGAACUGAAACAUCUAAGUACCCCGAGGAAAAGAAAUCAACCGAGAUUCCCCCAGUAGCGGCGAGCGAACGGGGAGGAGCCCAGAGCCUGAAUCAGCAUGUGUGUUAGUGGAAGCGUCUGGAAAGGCGCGCGAUACAGGGUGACAGCCCCGUACACAAAAGCGCAUGUGCUGUGAGCUCGAUGAGUAGGGCGGGACACGUGGUAUCCUGUCUGAAUAUGGGGGGACCAUCCUCCAAGGCUAAAUACUCCUGACUGACCGAUAGUGAACCAGUACCGUGAGGGAAAGGCGAAAAGAACCCCGGCGAGGGGAGUGAAAAAGAACCUGAAACCGUGUACGUACAAGCAGUGGGAGCACCCUUCGGGGUGUGACUGCGUACCUUUUGUAUAAUGGGUCAGCGACUUAUAUUCUGUAGCAAGGUUAACCGUAUAGGGGAGCCGGAGGGAAACCGAGUCUUAACCGGGCGUUAAGUUGCAGGGUAUAGACCCGAAACCCGGUGAUCUAGCCAUGGGCAGGUUGAAGGUUGGGUAACACUAACUGGAGGACCGAACCGACUAAUGUUGAAAAAUUAGCGGAUGACCUGUGGCUGGGGGUGAAAGGCCAAUCAAACCGGGAGAUAGCUGGUUCUCCCCGAAAGCUAUUUAGGUAGCGCCUCGUGAAUUCAUCUCCGGGGGUAGAGCACUGUUUCGGCUAGGGGGCCAUCCCGGCUUACCAACCCGAUGCAAACUGCGAAUACCGGAGAAUGUUAUCACGGGAGACACACGGCGGGUGCUAACGUCCGUCGUGAAGAGGGAAACAACCCAGACCGCCAGCUAAGGUCCCAAAGUCAUGGUUAAGUGGGAAACGAUGUGGGAAGGCCCAGACAGCCAGGAUGUUGGCUUAGAAGCAGCCAUCAUUUAAAGAAAGCGUAAUAGCUCACUGGUCGAGUCGGCCUGCGCGGAAGAUGUAACGGGGCUAAACCAUGCACCGAAGCUGCGGCAGCGAACGUAUCACCCAAGACAACUUUACGGAGUUGACGAUUGACGGAGCGAAGCGACGUCAAAGCGUUCAUUAAAGUCGAGUUGGCUUAGGGAUACGUUCGUUGGGUAGGG
rnacentral:rRNA from 1 species